GCGUCGGUGGGGUAGUGGUAACCUGGGUCGUUGCCAAAAGCUCGAAGUAAUGAACUUCGACCCGCCGGGGGUUCGAUUCCCUCCCGACGCA